GUUCUCUGCGAUCAAACAAGGCAAAAGGAAGGGGGAAACCCUAGUUCAAAGAAUCAAGUGAAUCAAUCCAAAUUCAUGAGCCAAUCUGAUGCAUGUUCCCUAAAUUGUGAUUAGCUAACCCUAAUCUCUUAAGUGGCGUAAAAGAAGAAGGUACAAGCACUAAGCAAGCGGAAGGAGUACAAGAUCGAGGUAAAGCACCUCUAUAGGCGAUUUGGAGAUAUGGGACGAGCACAUGUUCAAGCCUUAUGAUACCAAGCGCUUCCGCAACUUAUAUGCAUGCUUUUGGGUCGUGUUUGUUACUUGUUAAACUUUGUUGAAAUGUUUUAGAAUUGAAAACUUGUCGUUUUUGUUGGGAUGGUUUUAUGUAAAAUGGGUCGUAUUGUAAACGUUGUAAGUUAUGUCAAAACAGGGGGUAUGCUCGUUUUACAAACGGGUCAUGCCCAAAUUUUGUAAAAAUUUUCUAUUAAGUGUCAAAAUUGUAUUUCAAUGUCCGAAAGAUCUUGCUUA